CAGUCGCCGCGGGAAUACAGAGGGUGCGAGCGUUAAUCGGAUUUACUGGGCGUAAAGAGCUCGUAGGCGGUUUGUCGCGUCUGCCGUGAAAGUCCGGGGCUCAACCCCGGAUCUGCGGUGGGUACGGGCAGACUAGAGUGAUGUAGGGGAGACUGGAAUUCCUGGUGUAGCGGUGAAAUGCGCAGAUAUCAGGAGGAACACCGAUGGCGAAGGCAGGUCUCUGGGCAUUAACUGACGCUGAGGAGCGAAAGCAUGGGGAGCGAACAGGAUUAGAUACCCCAGUAGUCCCUGUCUCUUAUAC
rnacentral:rRNA from 1 species